rnacentral:rRNA from 1 species
AACGAACGCUGGCGGCAUGCCUAACACAUGCAAGUCGAACGAGACCUUCGGGUCUAGUGGCGCACGGAUGCGUAACGCGUGGGAACCUGCCCUUAGGUUCGGAAUAACUCCCCGAAAGGGGUGCUAAUACCGGAUAAUGUCUUCGGACCAAAGAUUUAUCGCCUUUGGAUGGGCCCGCGUUGGAUUAGCUAGUUGGUAGGGUAAAAGCCUACCAAGGCGACGAUCCAUAGCUGGUCUGAGAGGAUGAUCAGCCACACUGGGACUGAGACACGGCUCAGACUCCUACGGGAGGCAGCAGUGGGGAAUAUUGGACAAUGGGCGAAAGCCUGAUCCAGCAAUGCCGCGUGAGUGAUGAAGGCCUUAGGGUUGUAAAGCUCUUUUACCCGGGAUGAUAAUGACAGUACCGGGAGAAUAAGCUCCGGCUAACUCCGUG